UCCCAGACUCCUACGGGAGGCAGCAGUGAGGAAUAUUGGUCAAUGGGCGUAAGCCUGAACCAGCCAAGUCGCGUGAGGGAAGAAGGCCCUGCGGGUCGCAGACCUCUUUGGACGGGGAGCAAGGCCGCCGACGUGUCGGCGGAAGGAGAGUACCCGUAGAACAAGCAUCGGCUAACUCCGUGCCAGCAGCCGCGGUAAUACGGAGGAUGCGAGCGUUAUCCGGAUUUAUUGGGUUUAAAGGGAGCGUAGGCGGCGAUGCAAGUCAGAAGUGAAAGCCCGGGGCUCAACUCCGGGACUGCUUUUGAAACUGUGUUGCUAGAUUGCAGGAGAGGGAAGUGGAAUUCCUAGUGUAGCGGUGAAAUGCGUAGAUAUUAGGAGGAACACCAGUGGCGAAGGCGGCUUACUGGACUGUAAAUGACGCUGAGGCUCGAAAGCGUGGGGAGCAAACAGGAUUAGAUACCCCCGUACAC
rnacentral:rRNA from 1 species